rnacentral:rRNA from 1 species
GCCAGCAGCCGCGGUAAUACGGGGGGUGCAAGCGUUAUCCGGAUUCACUGGGUUUAAAGGGUGCGUAGGCGGAUAUGUAAGUCAGUGGUGAAAUCAACGGGCUCAACCUGUUAAAUGCCAUUGAUACUGUGUAUCUUGAAUAUGCGAGAGGUAGGCGGAAUUUUGCAUGUAGCGGUGAAAUGCUUAGAUAUGCUACGGAACACCGAUUGCGAAGGCAGCUUACUAUUUCGUAAUUGACGCUGAGGCACGAAAGCGUGGGUAGCGAACA